UACAGGGGGUGCAAACGUUGCUCGGAAUCAUUGGGCGUAAAGCGCGUGUAGGCGGCCAUCUAAGUCGGGCGUGAAAUCCCACGGCUCAACCGUGGAAGUGCACUCGAAACUGGAUGGCUAGAGUCCUGGAGAGGAAGGUGGAAUGCUUGGUGUAGAGGUGAAAUUCGUAGAUAUCAAGCGGAACACCGGUGGCGAAGGCGGCCUUCUGGACAGUGACGUGACGCUGAGACGCGGAAAAGCGUGGGGAGCAAACAGGAU
rnacentral:rRNA from 1 species